UCUGACAACCCUAGAGAUAGGGCUUCUCCUUCGGGAGCAGAGUGACAGGUGGUGCAUGGUUGUCGUCAGCUCGUGUCGUGAGAUGUUGGGUUAAGUCCCGCAACGAGCGCAACCCUUGAUCUUAGUUGCCAUCAUUAAGUUGGGCACUCUAAGGUGACUGCCGGUGACAAACCGGAGGAAGGUGGGGAUGACGUCAAAUCAUCAUGCCCCUUAUGACCUGGGCUACACACGUGCUACAAUGGACGGUACAAAGAGCUGCAAGAC
rnacentral:rRNA from 1 species